rnacentral:tRNA from 1 species
GCAUUAGUGGUUCAGUGGUAGAAUGCUCGCAUGCCGCUCGGGCGACCCGGGCUCGAUCCAGGCCAAUGCA